rnacentral:lncRNA from 1 species
UUUCCCUGAAGUAUGGAGAUCAACCUGUCACAUACAACUUGGUUAAGACUUCUGCAACCUCAGCUCAUCCUUGGUUACCACAGGCUCAGACAGAGAUUAGAUGACAACAAAAAAAAUUGUUCAGAUAAGAAAACUAACAUUUCCAGGGACAGAGAGGGAGCUGAACCUCAGGACAGCCAUUCAACUAGAAAUGGUCCUUAUUGGACCCCUGCUGGAUGACCUUGGUCUGGAGGAGGCUUGUCUCUCAGAUAGAAGAGGUAUGGAAAACUGUCAUAGACAAAUUGACAAGUUGAUAUUUUUAAGUUGUUAUAUCUGGUAAACACAAGAUCAUAUGGGUUAGCCUUAACCUGAGAAAACAUUCAGAAAGAACACAUUUCUUCACUUGGCUGUCUUCUACACUUUGAAAUGUGGAGAAUGUGUCUACCCUAGCCUUUAUCUCAUUUUCUCUCUCAUGGAAAGAUAGUCUUGCUUCCCAGUCAUAGGCCCUCCUGAGUGAGGGUGAUGAAUUAUUUCUAAUAAGAAAUCAUUCCCUACUAUUUAGAUGGAUCUGUGUGGAAAUUGAUGACCCAGCUACAUAGAUAUGUUAG